rnacentral:rRNA from 1 species
CUACGUGCCAGCAGCCGCGGUAAUACGUAGGUGGCAAGCGUUGUCCGGAAUUAUUGGGCGUAAAGGGCGCGCAGGCGGCUUCUUAAGUCUGUCUUAAAAGUGCGGGGCUUAACCCCGUGAUGGGAUGGAAACUGGGAAGCUCAGAGUAUCGGAGAGGAAAGCGGAAUUCCUAGUGUAGCGGUGAAAUGCGUAGAUAUUAGGAGGAACACCAGUGGCGAAAGCGGCUUUCUGGACGAAAACUGACGCUGAGGCGCGAAAGCCAGGGGAGCGAACGGGAUUAGAUACCCCGGUAGUCCACGCUGUAAACGUUGGGCACUAGGUGUGGGGGCCACCCGUGGUUUCUGCGCCGUAGCUAACGCUUUAAGUGCCCCGCCUGGGGAGUACGGCCGCAAGGCUAAAACUCAAAGGAAUUGACGGGGGCCCGCACAAGCGGCGGAGCAUGCGGAUUAAUUCGAUGCAACGCGAAGAACCUUACCAAGGCUUGACAUGC